GCUUGCUCUUAUGAAGUUAGCGGCGGACGGGUGAGUAACACGUGGGUAACCUGCCCAUAAGACUGGGAUAACUCCGGGAAACCGGGGCUAAUACCGGAUAACAUUUUGAACUGCAUGGUUCGAAAUUGAAAGGCGGCUUCGGCUGUCACUUAUGGAUGGACCCGCGUCGCAUUAGCUAGUUGGUGAGGUAACGGCUCACCAAGGCAACGAUGCGUAGCCGACCUGAGAGGGUGAUCGAGUACACUGGGACUGAGACACUACCAGACUCCUACGGGAGGCAGCAGUAGGGAAUCUUCCGCAAUGGACGAAAGUCUGACGGAGCAACGCCGCGUGAGUGAUGAAGGCUUUCGGGUCGUAAAACUCUGUUGUUAGGGAAGAACAAGUGCUAGUUGAAUAAGCUGGCACCUUGACGGUACCUAACCAGAAAGCCACGGCUAACUACGUGCCAGCAGCCGCGGUAAUACGUAGGUGGCAAGCGUUAUCCGGAAUUAUUGGGCGUAAAGCGCGCGCAGGUGGUUUCUUAAGUCUGAUGUGAAAGCCCACGGCUCAACCGUGGAGGGUCAUUGGAAACUGGGAGACUUGAGUGCAGAAGAGGAAAGUGGAAUUCCAUGUGUAGCGGUGAAAUGCGUAGAGAUAUGGAGG
rnacentral:rRNA from 1 species